UAACGUAGGGUCCGAGCGUUGUCCGGAAUUAUUGGGUCGUAAAGGGCUCGUAGGCGGUUUCGUCACGUCGGGAGUGAAAACUCGGAAGCCUUAACUCCGAGCCUGGCCUUCCGAUACGGGGCAGGACUAGAGGUAGGCAGGGGAGAGCGGAAGCUCCUGGUGUAGUGGUGGAAUGCGCAGAUAUCAGGAGGAACACCGUGGCGAAGGCGGGUCUCUGGGCCGAUACUGACGCUGAGGAGCGAAAGCGUGGGGAGCGAACAGG
rnacentral:rRNA from 1 species